rnacentral:lncRNA from 1 species
GGGAAGCUACAUGGGUAGUCUGAGGAUCAUGAGGGGGUGGAGGUCUAAUGGCCGGAUUCGUACGAACGAACUCGGCAAACAAUUCAUUCAUAGCUUCUUGAGCCCCUCCUCCCUAACUAACUGUAAUGGGCCUUUCACUACUAUCUGGUGGCAUGGUCCCUUCUGCGGGAGCGAGCACGUUACUUUCUACAUCAUCUGUACCAACUCAUUCAGGAUCUAUUACUAUAAAAGAAAAACAUUUUAAAAUCGUU